CUCGACCUCAUUUCAUGGAUCAGUGAACAAGGUUAAGUUUUCGUGGUCAAGUCCAUAUCUCAGAUACUAUAAGCAAUAGGUCUAGUAUAUUCGGUGUAUGGAAGGACUGUAAGGUGAACAUGUCCAACUGGCAGGUGUCAUCUGACCUUGACCUCAUUUUCAUGGUUCAGUGGUUAUAGUUAAUUUUUUGUGUUUUGGUCUGUUUUUCUUAUACUGUAUGCCAUAGGUCUACUAUAUUUGGUGUAUGGAAUGAUUGUAAGGUGUACAUGUCUAGCUGGCAGGUGUCAUCUGACCUUGACCUCAUUUUCAUGGUUCAGUGGUCAAAGUUAAGUUUUUGUGUUUUGGUCUGUUUUUCUUAAACUAUAAGCAAUAGGUCAACUAUAUUUGUUGUAUGGAAGAAUUGUUAGCUGUACAUGCCUGCCUAGCAUGGUUCAUCUGACCUUGACCUCAUUUUCAUGGUUCAUUGGUCAAUGUUUAGUUUACUUGGUUAAUGUUAAGUUUAUGUGACAGUUGUAAUAAAGCUUUAUAUUUAGGACUAUCAACAUAAUAUCAAUGAUUAGUAAAGAAGGCGAGACAUUUCA